ensembl:lncRNA
CGCGAACCCCGACCCGCAGCCCCUUUCGGCGAGCCGUGCGCGCGUCCCCGGGCCCAGGUCCCCGCCGGCGUCCGCGUCCCCGGCCGGGAGCGCCGAGCGGCGGUGCGGACGCCGCGGACGGGACGAAGGAUCCCAGUGACCCGCCCGAGACCCUCUUCCGGAGCCGCCAAGACCCGAGCGCCCUCUUUCAGCGGUCGGCGACCGUUUGGAAGGACACUGUGGGCGAGCGCUCUGCCCUCCGCGUGCACGGCCGCGCGGCGCGGCGCCCCGACCCGCACACGCGUGCGCGCGCACAGUCGCGCUGCCCGGGGAGGUCCGCGCGCCGCGGGAGCGGCUCUAGGCGAGUGGAAACAGAUGAGAGACCGUCCGCAGCCUCUCCAGUGCUCGCUUUGCUUUCCCCGUUUUCCACACCGGAGCGCAGCUCGGCACGUGCAGGCGGGUGUGAGCGCGCCCAGGGGCUGCAGAGACCCGGAGCGUCGCUCGGAUCCGGCCAGAGCGGGUAGGAUCCUCGCUCUCAAGAAAACCAGCGGAGGAAAAGGAACUAUGUUUCGCCCAUUACUUUUAUUAGACGAGAGGGGCUAUAGAGGGCGUCUUCCCGGGCCACGUUUCAUAGCCGCCUGCUGACUCGUCACCCAAAGGGUCGUCCAGACCGCGAUUCCGCCGCGCGUGGUCAGGCGCACACUAACGCAGCUGGGUGGGAGAGCCGCGGGUAAGGAAGGCCUUUUUUUUGUUGGUCUUGUUAAUACUGGCGGAAAUGCAGAAAGAAAGGUUUGAUAAAUUUCAUUGCAUUAAAAGUAAAAAAACUUCAGUUGAACAGAAAUUGCUGGCACUGACCUGGGGAAAAAGGUUUGCAGGGCCCGUAAAUGGCAAAGACUGCCCUGCAGAGCCAGGAAGGACGCCCAAGGUCAGCAGGUGAAGCCACCCGCCAGAGAAAUGGCCCAAGGAGGCCGGCAGAGUCUCCGCACAGAGGACAGAGGCCCACGUUCGCCCUUGACGGGGACGCCGCACCGUGUGUCAGAUGCCACGGUGUGACCCCAGACGAGGCCCUGGGUGUGGGGAGACCAGGCGCGCUCUCCCUGCCGUGCUAGCCGAAACUGCUACAAAGGAAUCUGGGAGACAUUUGGCCGCAUCUGAAAGAGCAGCAGCUGCCCACCGCUCUGACCCCCAGAUCCCUGCCUCAUUGUCCGCCGCUGAGAAAAUGCCAGGCUGGGGGCACUGAGCCCUGGCAC